UCUUUGUUUUUAACCUGAUCUUUUUGCUGAUGUGUUUCUUAGACAUGUUUGAAUGCUUGUUGCGUUCUCUGAUACACACUCACACACACAAAAACUUCGGUUUUGAUCAUCGCAUCCUAUUGAAUAGUGUAGGGAAGAUGAUUGAGAAUUGAUCACCUACCAGCAAUAACAGGACUAGUUCUUGUACUAUAACAUCUUUACCGCCAAAAUGCCAUUUGUGUAGGAAAUUAGUACUAUGAAAAACUAUAGGCCUCCCUUCUCAAAAAUCAGGCUGAUCAGAUCACUAGGUGUGCAUUCCAAUGCUGUGGCCCAUCUGAUGAGUAGACCACCCUGAUUUCUAUGCCAGGUAAUCUUCAUGGUGAUGCCUACCAUUUUCAUAGUACUGGUGUCAAUUAUACACAGCUGGAAUGUACUAUGUCGACAAGAUACAACACCAUAAGUAGUGGUAACUUGCUUGUGGGUAAUCAGUUCUCAGGAUGAUUUCUUAAAUUGUUAUAUGAUGGUUCCUUAACACUGACAGAAUUAUUAUUUUUUUGGUAACCCUGGGCCUUUCAGGAUUAGAGAUAUGUUUGAGGAUGAAAGUGGUUAUUGACAGAGGAAAUUCUUGGCUAUUACAAAUAAUGUGGAGAUUUUCUUGGCCUUUGGAAAGCGCAUUCUUCCUUCGAAGCCGAGCUCUAUUUUGAAUGAGUUAAGAUAGCUUGAAUUUUGUUAAAGAAAGAACCAAGCUAUAAACUGGGCAUGCAGCUUAAGGGAGGGGAAAGGAGUGGAUGAUCAGGAGGGACCCCUGAACUAGUGUUGAUCUACAUGACAGUCCAUAAAUGUGAGUGAGCUGCAUCAUUCUUCCAUGAAGCUUUCCUCUCCUCCCACUCAUAACAGUAAAGGCAAAAUGAACAAUGCGAAAGUUAACUUCUUGGUCAGUUAUCAUUUGCAAAAUAUCAAAAGUUGAUAAUACAAGGAAUUCUAAGUGGACUUGCUCGUGUGGUGGAUGUAGGUUGGUUGUAGCUCGCCUGCCAACUUACGGUAUAUGUUAUAGACCUGGGCAUUCAUCUGGUGGGGAACACUAUCAUCAAGACCUAACACAAACAUUAUUCUGGUUGACUCAUCGGAUAAGAUGUGCAUGUACAUUGAAUAUGGACCAUUGGUCAUUUUUUCCAAUGGUCCAUUUUUUUCUCAUACAAGUGUGGCCCACCUAUUGAGUAGACUAGUAUGAUUUUUGGGCUUGAGCAUUAGCAUAGUGUGCCUUCACCUGUCAUGCUCUGCUUCUUGUGCACCUAAAGCAGUGUUUGUGUAAUUGUAUUCAUUGCAUGGGCUGUUUAUGAAACAUAAUACAGAUACAUGUUUGCUAGGUGUUUCUAUAUCAAGCUGAGCAAGCCUUUCAUCAGAAAAUGAGAAAGGAAACAUGCAUGGAACUCAGCAGAGAACAUUUUUCCUGUAAACUAAAAAAGUAACAAGAAGUUGAUCACUCCUUUGUUAUAUUUAUGCCAAAGAAAAAAUAAAAUGGACAAGGUUCCCCUGUUUUGAGUGCAAGAAGCACACUCGCACCCUUGGUACAAUCAUGCUUCUCCUUGUCUUUUCUAAUUCAUGUCUAAGAUGUCUAUGACAAAAAUUGGCAUUCUUUUCAUGUAUUUUUCUUUAUUAUGAGGUUACUUAGUUUCCCAAAAUGUGUUUUGGUUGAAUUUGACUGAUGAAUUAUGGGGCAUUGUAUAUGCAGCCGAUGAUAGGCAAAAACUAUGACAUGAUGUUUGUGAUCUACAUCAGGCAUCCAUCUCUCUGUUCUAAUAUUAAAGGAAUGGGCCAAAAGAGGGAAGCAAUGAUUGACUGUGGAGAGCCAGCAUCCCCAUGAUGGAGAAUGACCAUAUAAAGAUCUUUCUACAUUGAAGAAAACUCUCUUGAGUUGUAUUGGUGUUGAUAUAUCAUCAUGCAGGAACUGGACACAUAGAAUUCCUAAGAUAAGAAGCAACAAUAGCUGGUGAAUGCCAACACUGAGGAUUGAAGCAUCUAUGA